CUCGUACGCUCUGGUUUGCAGAUUUCAGGGACUCCCUCCUCGACCAAACCCAUUCACAGGAAAAGUACGUAGUUGAUGAAUAAGUAAAGGAAGUCAAAAGGAGAGCAGCAUCACCUUAUGUCGUCGUGUCGGGUUAUUUUAGUGUGAGCUGCUUUCUGUCGUGAGUUACUGAUCGCCACUUUGCCUCGACUUUUCACAUCCUCAGACAAAAUUAUUCGUGCCCUUUUAGCUUUCAUUUAUCAUGUCCUUCUCUAUCUGCCACUGGAGACGUUAUUCCAGGAAUAAUGAACUGGAGGAAUUCCAUGUGAACUGGAACGACCUCCUGGAAUUGAUGCAGAGUGAAAGGAGCAGAAGAACUAAGACAACAUUAUACACAGAGACUGAUACACUAUGGUACAAUCGAACGUAAUGGACUUCUCUAUUAGCAGCAAUGCAGUGAUCCAGGAUAAUUAGGGAUUUGUGAGAAAGAACACUAUCAACAUUCAAAGCAAGAACUGUGGAAGUAGAAACAGAACAAAAACAACUGCUUGAUCACAUGGGUUGAUGGGGAUAUGAUUGGGGAUGUAGACUCUAAACCAUCACCUUAGUGCAAAUAUCAAUAAUAUGGAAAUAGGUCUUGAACAAUGACACAUAGAAAACCCAGUGGAAUUGUGCAUCAGAUACAGGAAGGGGUUGGGGGAGGGAAGGGAAAGAGCAUGAAUCUUGUAACCAUGGAAAAAUAUUCUAAAUUAAUUAAAUAAAAUUUUCCAAAUUAAAAAAAUAAAAAAUUUUAAAAGUGCAACUAUAAAUAUUUUUGUACAAAUAGGUCCUUGCCCAGUUUUUUAAUGUCUUUUUGGAAUAUAAACCUAGCAGUGGUAUUGCUGGAUCAAAGGGCAUGCAUUCUUUUAAAACCCUUUGGGCAUGAUUCCAAAUUGCCCUCCAGAAUGGUUGUAUCAAUUCACAACUCCAGCAGCAAAGCAUUAACCUCCCAACUUGCAAGCUGUCUUGAUGUCCUAAAUAAAAUCCUUUUCACUUUC